rnacentral:rRNA from 1 species
AAUGAACGUUGGCGGCGUGGAUUAGGCAUGCAAGUCGAGCGACAAGGUCCUUUCGGGGACUGGAGGAGCGGCAAACGGGGUAGUAAGGCAUCGGAACGUACCCUCAUGUCAGGGAUAGCCGCGGGAAACUGCGAUUAAUACCUGAUGAUCUCGUGAGAGCAAAGGUCCGCCGCAUGAGGAGCGGCCGAUGUGAUAUCAGCUAGUUGGUAAGGUAACGGCUUACCAAGGCAUAGACGUCUAGGGGGUGUGAGAGCACGACCCCCACCACUGGGACUGAGACACUGCCCAGACACCUACGGGUGGCUGCAGUCGAGAAUCUUCGGCAAUGGGCGCAAGCCUGACCGAGCGACGCCGCGUGCGGGAUGAAGGCCCUUGGGUUGUAAACCGCUGUCAGGGGGGAUGAAACCGUAAGGUUGACAGAGCCCCAGAGGAAGCACGGGCUAAGUUCGUGCCAGCAGCCGCGGUAACAC